GGGCCCGCACAAGCGGUGGAGCAUGUGGUUUAAUUCGAUGCAACGCGAAAAACCUUACCAGGGCUUAAAUGUAGUAUGACCGGCUUGGAAACAGGCCUUCUCUUCGGAGCAGAUUACAAGGUGCUGCAUGGUUGUCGUCAGCUCGUGCCGUGAGGUGUUAGGUUAAGUCCUGCAACGAGCGCAACCCCUAUUCUUAGUUGCCAGCGGUUCGGCCGGGGACUCUAAGAAGACUGCCAGCGCAAGCUGAGAGGAAGGUGGGGAUGACGUCAAAUCAUCACGGCCCUUACGUCCUGGGCUACACACGUGCUACAAUGGUAGAGACAGAGGGCAGCCACCUGGUGACAGGGAGCGAAUCCUUAAACUCUAUCUCAGUUCGGAUCGGAGUCUGCAACUCGACUCCGUGAAGCUGGAAUC
rnacentral:rRNA from 1 species